UGCUGCUAUCUGGGACAACUCCAUACAGCUGGUCAGGACCAGUUUCAGGUGGUGGAAAGGGAAGUCCAACACAGGCUGUGGUUUUCUUACCUAGCAUGUCCCCAGUAUCACCCAUAGAUGUGAGCUUCUGUUGAAGGGAGCUAUACCAACUGGAGCCUGGAUUCAGGGUAGUCUUGGUGCAUUCGCAACCCUUGUGCUUUAAUAACAUGAUGCAGCCAGAAAAAGGUGGCAUAAUGGAAUGCUAGCUUGGAGCCUUUCAAUUCAGAGCACCUACAGUGGAACCCAAACUGGUAAGUUCCUUUGCCAGGUUCCUGACGUGCAUCCAGCAAUUCAGAACUCCCGCAGGGAUCCGGCGUCCAUUGCUUAGAAACAGAAGGCACCGAGUUAGCAGGAGAAUGAGGGCUGCCAUCCCAGGCUGUACGACUGACAGCCUGAUGCCAAGCCAAUAGCCUGGGAGUUGAAAUCUGGACCAGACAUUUUGGGCCAAAAGAAGUCUUAUUCAAGUGUGUGAAUGUGUGGAUGUGCUGUUGCAAUGGCACGCUGCCUUUCUCUGUGCUAAGAAGUUAUCCGAGUGAUUCACAGGCUGAUGGCUGGAGUCAUAAUGUUUACUCUUUCCAUGAAGGUUGUUCCCCCAAAACCCCCACAUCAGCCCUUAAAUACUGUUGAAGACUCUGCAGUGGGAUGUAUGAGAGCUCUGCAUGUUCUCUGCAGAUAAGAAAACCCCUAUCCCAUGGAGAGAUACUUUCCUGAUGAAAAGGAAAGGAGUGGAGCAAGGAUGCUGUAUGUUAGGGUAAAGCUGUCCCCUGAACUCCCAGCCCCGAGGGCAUUUAUGCUGUGUAUAAAUAAACAUGGUGUCAGCACAGCACACAUUGCGUGGACUUCCACCAGACACAGCUCACCUUCACCACACAAAUGAUCAAAACCCAUUCCUCUCCUUUUGACUCAAUUGGUUUUACAUCUUUGUUCUUUGUGAAGCCUUUUACUCCCAUCCUGUUAAAGGAUUCUGCACCUCAGAGGCAAUUUGGGUGAAUUCGAUGUCAGGGAUGCCAAUCCUAGCUUCGGCCCAGGGUCUGCACUGAAGAUCCUUCCCAUGUGCCGGAAGAAGGCUGCUGUGCUGUGCUCUUUUCUAAGUUUUAUCAUUUUUUUUUUUUUACUAUUUGUGGUACAGAAUUGAAAGUUAAAUGCAGUAAAUCUACCUCUUACUGCUACACUAGAAAACUUGUGGCAGAAAAAGCUCAUUAUUGCCCAAGGAAGAUGAACACAGAUUUGCUUAGAAGACUCUUUUAACUUGCAGACAACCUUAAGUUGACAAACCUGUGUUUUUUUCUAUUUUGUUCUCAACUCUGGGGACAGAUCCUGAGGUCAUUGCUCUAUUAUAUCUUUGCUUGGGAGAUGUUAAGCAGUUAAAGAUUUAAACUCUGUGCUGUGUCGCUGUCUUGUUGGUAUUGAUAAACAGCUAUAUGAAGGCAACAUUUGUUCUCCAAACAGAUUUUUUUUUUCUCUUAGAUUUCUUUUCAGUCAAGCUUGCAAUUUCAUAAAUUUAUUAAAUGAACAUAAAACAUCUGGUAGUUAGUCUCUUCCCUGUGGAGUCUGCUUCAUGUGAAAUGUUAUUUCUGUUCAAAUAGUAGCUUCUGGAGUAUCAUUUUUGCAAAAGAAUAAAUUGUCUGUUGAAUUAAUGAA